UUUCCAUUCAGGACUUACUGCCAAGAAAAUCAAGACUUGAGCACUAGCCAAACAAAGAAUUACGAAGGAGGUUACAGAUCAUAAAGCUCGGCUGAAGUAACAACCGGAGGAAAAGCCCACGUAAACAAUUACAACAUGAUGAGAUGUUGGGAAGAAAAAAUUUGCAGAAGGUUAAACAGUCACCUAAAAUUAAUGGUGACAGAUGCCUGCUAACAAGUGGGGAAGCAAUAUUUAGGAUAUGCUUUGGCGACUCCAACACUGCUGAUUUCACCCUGCAGAAAGAAGAGCCCAUUAAACACGGAUACGUGAAAUGU